AACACUUCAUAAUCAGUUAAAAGCUGUGACUGUCUGCUUUGUGUUCUGGUAGUUAUAUUUGUUAUAGAUGAUUAUCUGUUAAAACUGAUCACUGUGACCUGAAUUUAACACAGAAAAAACACAUUUAUUAAAUAUUCAACAUGGCGUCUGUCUGUUGGAAACAUGUUGAUCACAGCUCAUCAUCUGAAUGUGACCAGUUUUAUCUGCUGUACUUUCAGUUUGAAAGCUAAACGCUGGUUUCUCUUCCUGCUGAUAAAAUAACUGCAACAAAGAACCAGCUCCGGGGGAAAAACAGAGCAAACUGAAGAGCAGCAGCUCUGAGUCACAGUGAAGAUCGAAGCUUAAAUUAAAAGCAGGAGGAGAAAAACAGAAACAUGAAGUUCCCGAAAAAUCAGCUGGACGACAGAAGAGCUGGAGCUUCACUGCUGAGAGUAAAAACAACAGGAAACACCCAGAACUGCACCAGCGACAUUUCGUUCAGUAGUUUUCUCCAGGAAACAACAGUUUCUACCUGAAGGGACGAUGUGUGGAUGUGGUACAAGUGAAACCUGGAGAUAAUGUCACUCUGCCAUGUCAGGCUGGAGAUGUCUUCAUCAGAGCUGUAGAGUGGACCAGACCAGACCUGGAGCCAGACUACGUCGUCUUUCACAGAGAUGGACUCUCAGAUCCAACCCACCAGCAUCCAUCCUUUAAGGACCGGGUGCAGCUGGUGGACAGAGAGCUGAAGGACGGAGACGUGUCUUUACUUCUGAAGAAUGUGAGCAGCAACGACGCUGGAACAUACGAGUGUCGAGUUGCACAGGAGGUUCAAGACGUAAGAGAGCCAUUAUUGAGACUGAGCCAAUCAGAAUCAUCCAGCUGGAGGUUCCAGGGUCCAACAGCGGAGACGUCGAGGAGGGAAACCAAAUCAACAGAAACCCCACAGAGAGAAACUACGCUCGUAAUUAUGUUGGACUGGGAGCAGCCUUAUUUCUGGUUUGCUUAGCUGCUGUUGGAUUGGUUGUUUU